AAUCUGGUUGAUUCUGCCAGUAGUCAUACGCUCGUCUCAAAGAUUAAGCCAUGCAUGUCUAAGUAUAAACGAUUUUGUACUGUGAAACUGCGAAUGGCUCAUUAUAUCAGUUAUAGUUUAUUUGAUAGUCCCUUACUACAUGGAUACCCGUAGUAAUUCUAGAGCUAAUACAUGCAUCGACUCCCAACUGCUUCGGCGGACGGGACGUAUUUAUUAGAUUGAAACCAAUGCGGGGGAGACCCCGGUAUUGUGGUGAGUCAUGAUAACUUUGCGAAUCGCAUGGCCUUGUGCCGGCGAUGGAUCAUUCAAGUUUCUGCCCUAUCANNNNNNNNNNNNNNNNNNNNNNNNNNNNNNNNNNNNNNNNNNNNNNNNNNUGGCAAUUGGAAUGAGAACAAUUUAAAUCCCUUAUCGAGGAUCCAUUGGAGGGCAAGUCUGGUGCCAGCAGCCGCGGUAAUUCCAGCUCCAAUAGCGUAUAUUAAUGUUGUUGCAGUUAAAAAGCUCGUAGUUGGAUUCCUGGCACGGGGUAGCCGGUCCGCCUUGCAAAAGGUGCGCACUGAGCGGCCUCGGCCAUCCUUGCGAUGGUCUAUCCUGGCAUUCAGUUGUCGGGGUGGGGAUUCGCGACGUUUACUGUGAAAAAAUCAGAGUGUUCAACGCAGGCUUACGCCUUGAAUACAUUAGCAUGGAAUAAUGAGAUAGGACCUUGGCGGUCUAUUUUGUUGGUUUGCACGCCGAGGUAAUGAUUAAAAGGGACGGUUGGGGUUCUUCGUAUUCAAUUGUCAGAGGUGAAAUUCUUGGAUUUAUGGAAGACGAACUGCUGCGAAAGCGUCGAACAAGGACGUUCUCAUUAAUCAAGAACGAAAGUUAGGGGAUCGAAGAUGAUUAGAUACCAUCGUAGUCUUAACCAUAAACUAUGCCGAUUCAGGAUUGGCGGUCGUUUGUUCUCGACUCCGUCAGCACUGUAUGAGAAAUCAAAAUCUUUGGGUUCCGGGGGGAGUAUGGUCGCAAGGCUGAAACUUAAAGAAAUUGACGGAAGGGCACCACCAGGAGUAAACAUAACCUGUUUCAAAACGCACGGUUCUGCUCCAGCGCACAAGCAACGAUUGGUACUCUUCCGGCGCGCGUCCCCUCGACGCGUCCUUAGUUGCGUGUCUAUUGUGCGCUAGUCGCGCCGUUCCGCGAACUGCACGGGAACGGCGGCGGCAACAUCAUCGAAUUGCUGGGAACCCUCGAUAGGCCGGAGGUACUAAAGGCUCGGGGAAACCCGGGUCAAAUCGAGCUUAGACGCUCGCAGUAAAAACCCUUCGGAUAGAGGCAAUCAGCAGCCAAGCGCCUACAGCCGCGUGUAUUACAGUGUAUUACAGUUGGGUAUGCAUGUAUUACAAGUGGUCACGGUGAAGGUCCAGAGACUAAGUGGUGAUGGGUGCCGGCGCGGCCGACCGCGCCGGUGCUUAAGAUAUAGUCCACCCCUCUUGAGAGAGAGCUCAUCGGAUGAAGGAGCGUGCACUCCCCGAGCCUUUGAGGUCGACCGGUUGUAUUACACAUGUAAUACACCGGCCGAUGGAUUCAUUAGAACGUCGCUAGAGUGUUGUAAUACGCAUGCGUAUUACAAACUGUCUUUUGUGUAUUACACUUGUAAUACGGAGUGUAUUACACCUUGUAUUACAGAGUGUAUUACACGGUCUAUUGGGAAGGGCCUUGGGAAAUGUUGGGUUGGGAAGUGCUCAUCGUUGCUCCGAAGGAAUCAAGUGUUUACGUCGCCUGGUAAGACGGUCUAUAAAGGUUUGGCUGAAGCAAAGAAGGCUUUGCUUGGUCGAGCCGAAGCAGAUUCUGAUGCCGGCGGCGAGACCCUUGCGGACUCCGAUCCCAGCGCGUAUACCCUUGUAGACUCCGAGACCGGUGAGGACACCCAACCCUACCCGACCAAAGACAUGUAGUACAGAGUGUAAUACAGUUGUAAUACACAUGUAAUACAAGUCAUAGACAGUAUAAGAGACCCUCUAGCAGACCCUCUUUUAGUAAAGUGGGAGCCUGCGGCUUAAUUUGACUCAACACGGGGAAACUUACCAGGUCCAGACAUAGUAAGGAUUGACAGAUUGAGAGCUCUUUCUUGAUUCUAUGGGUGGUGGUGCAUGGCCGUUCUUAGUUGGUGGAGUGAUUUGUCUGGUUAAUUCCGUUAACGAACGAGACCCCCGCCUGCUAAAUAGCUGUGGGAAUGCGCUUGCAUUGCCUCAACUUCUUAGAGGGACUUUCGGUGACUAACCGAAGGAAGCUGGGGGCAAUAACAGGUCUGUGAUGCCCUUAGAUGUCCUGGGCCGCACGCGCGCUACACUGGCACACGCAACGAGUCUAUCACCUUGGUCGGCAGGCCUGGGUAAUCUGUGAACGUGUGCCGUGAUUGGGAUUGAUUGUUGCAAUUUUCAAUCAUGAACGAGGAAUUCCUAGUAAACGCGAGUCAUCAGCUCGCAUUGAUUACGUCCCUGCCCUUUGUACACACCGCCCGUCGCACCUACCGAUUGAAUGGUUCGGUGAAACCUCCGGACUGGGGUUCGCAAGCUUCACGGCGAACGUACCUCGGGAAGUUGGUUAAACCUCACUAUUUAGAGGAAGGUGAAGUCGUAACAAGGUCUCCGUAGGUGAACCUGCGGAGGGAUCAUUA
rfam:Aureococcus anophagefferens unplaced genomic scaffold ATRANscaffold_11, whole genome shotgun sequence.